GAUGAACGCUGGCGGCGUGCCUAAUACAUGCAAGUCGAGCGAACAGACGAGGAGCUUGCUCCUCUGACGUUAGCGGCGGACGGGUGAGUAACACGUGGAUAACCUACCUAUACGACUGGGAUAACUUCGGGAAACCGGAGCUACUACCGGAUAAUAUAUUGAACCGCAUGGUUCACUAGUGAAAGACGGUUUUGAUGUCUCUUAUAGAUGGAUCCGCGCCGCAUUAGCUAGUUGGUAAGGUAACGGCUUACCAAGGCAACGAUGCGUAGCCGACCUGAGAGGGUGAUCGGCCACACUGGAACUGAGACACGGGCCAGACUCCUACGGGAGGCAGCAGUAGGGAAUCUUCCGCAAUGGGCGAAAGCCUGACGGAGCAACGCCGCGUGAGUGAUGAAGGUCUUCGGAUCGUAAAACUCUGUUAUUAGGGAAGAACAAAUGUGUAAGUAACUAUGCACGUCGUGACGGUACCUAAUCAGAAAGCCACGGCUAACUACGUG
rnacentral:rRNA from 1 species